GAUGACCUACGGGAGGCAGCAGUGGGGGAUAUUGCACAAUGGGGGAAACCCUGAUGCAGCAACGCCGCGUGAGUGAAGAAGUAUUUCGGUAUGUAAAGCUCUAUCAGCAGGGAAGAAAAUGACGGUACCUGAGUAAGAAGCCCCGGCUAACUACGUGCCAGCAGCCGCGGUAAUACGUAGGGGGCAAGCGUUAUCCGGAUUUACUGGGUGUAAAGGGAGCGUAGACGGCGAUGCAAGUCCGAAGUGAAAGCCCGGGGCUCAACCCCGGGACUGCUUUGGAAACUGUAUGGCUGGAGGGCUGGAGG
rnacentral:rRNA from 1 species